AUUUUGUGGUUGAUGCAACACGAAAGGGUAACAAAAUAAGAUUUGCAAACCAUUCAGUCAAUCCCAACUGCUAUGCAAAAGUUAUGAUGGUUAAUGGAGAUCACAGAAUAGGCAUAUUUGCUAAGAGAGCUAUUCAGACUGGUGAAGAGCUGUUUUUUGAUUACAGAUACAGUCAGGCUGAUGCCCUCAAGUAUGUAGGCAUUGAAAGAGAAAUGGAAAUCCCUUGAUACCAGCUACCUCACCUAUAAAACAGCUGCCUUAUCUUCAAGAGUUUCUAGUACUGUGGGCAAUUUUAUUAAGAAAAAACUGAAUGCAAUUUGGAAUGCAAAAUUUGCAAAGUACUGUACCUGUAAUGUAUAGUGACAGAUUUUAAAAAUCAACUUUUUAUUGCCUUUUCACCAGCUGCAACAUGUUUUUACCAUUGAACUUUUGCAAUAAUGCAGUGUGGUAUACUUUGUGAACCUUGAAUAAAGGAUACUUGAACUUUGAA